GACCACACCAUGGAUAUUCCAGGCUGCCUUCUGUAUACCAAGACUGGCUCCGCCCCACACCUCACCCAUCACACGCUGCAUAAUAUCCACAGGGUUCCUGCCAUGGCUCAGCUUACGCUGUCAUCCCUAGCAGAACAUCAUGAAGUCUUGACAGAAUAUAAAGAAGGAGUUGGAAAGUUUAUAGGCAUGCCAGAAUCACUCUUGUACUGCUCCCUGCACGAUCCAGUCAGCCCCUGCCCAGCUGGUUAUGUAACAAACAAGGUGUGUUUUCAGAAGGGUCUCCAAGGCUGCAGCUUUGUCCCAGGAAGUCAGCCUAUGGUGUAUCCCUCAGAUGCUCAGAUCCCGCUGUCUGGGAUGAUCCCUUAUACCUUUUCCUUAUUUCGAUAAUUAUAGUGGGAUGGGAUGGUUUAUAAGACUUAGAGUAGGGCUGCCUAAGGAUGAGGUUAAGAUGAAGAACACUGUAUCCUCAGCAUUUUCAUUGUUGCAAAAAAAUUUGAGGGUAGAGGAGGGUCAAAUACAUGC
rnacentral:sRNA from 1 species